rnacentral:rRNA from 1 species
UACAGAGGUCUCAAGCGUUGUUCGGAUUCAUUGGGCGUAAAGGGUGUGUAGGUGGCGCCGUAAGUCGGGGUGUGAAAUUUCGGAGCUUAACUCCGAAACUGCAUUCGAUACUGCGGUGCUUGAGGACUGGAGAGGAGACUGGAAUUCAUGGUGUAGCAGUGAAAUGCGUAGAGAUCAUGAGGAAGGCCAGUGGCGAAGGCGGGUCUCUGGACAGUUCCUGACACUGAGACACGAAGGCCGGGGAGCAAACGGG